ACAACUCAACUACGCAACAACUGAAAAGGAAUUACUCGCUGUAGUUUUCGCUAUAGACAAAUUUAGAUCUUAUCUAGUAGGAGCUGUAGCGGGGUAUUCGUUACCUUUAGAUUUAUUGACUAAAUCAAAACUAAACCAUACAAGUCGAGUCGCCACCGCACUUCUAUUUAUCCAAAGGAAUGGUUGGAAAGCGAACAAAAACCUAAUAGUUUUAUCGAAUCAAAAACGAGUAAAAAUGUCAGAGAUCGGGGUAAGGGGGUUGGUUAUGCAAUGGGAAGGUUUUAAG
rnacentral:lncRNA from 1 species